rnacentral:rRNA from 1 species
AUACGGAGGAUGCGAGCGUUAUCCGGAUUUAUUGGGUUUAAAGGGAGCGUAGGUGGGAUAUUAAGUCAGCUGUGAAAGUUUGGGGCUCAACCUUAAAAUUGCAGUUGAUACUGGUUUCCUUGAGUACGGUACAGGUGGGCGGAAUUCGUGGUGUAGCGGUGAAAUGCUUAGAUAUCACGAAGAACUCCGAUCGCGAAGGCAGCUCACCGGGCCGGAACUGACACUGAUGCUCGAAAGUGCGGGUAUCAAACAGGAUUAGAUACCCUGGUAGUCCGCACAGUAAACGAUGAAUACUCGCUGUUUGCGAUACACGGUAAGCGGCCAAGCGAAAGCGUUAAGUAUUCCACCUGGGGAGUGCGCCGGCAACGGUGAAACUCAAAGGAAUUGACGGGG